rnacentral:rRNA from 1 species
GAUAAUACCUUACUACUUGGAUAACCGUGGUAAUUCUAGAGCUAAUACAUGCUAAAAAUCCCGACUUCGGAAGGGUUGUAUUUAUUAGAUUAAAAACCAAUGCCCUUCGGGGCUCUCUGGUGAAUCAUGAUAACUAGUCGAAUCGACAGGCCUUGUGCCGGCGAUGGCUCAUUCAAAUUUCUUCCCUAUCAACUUUCGAUGUUUGGGUAUUGGCCAAACAUGGUGGCAACGGGUAACGGAGGGUUAGGGCUCGACCCCGGAGAAGGAGCCUGAGAAACGGCUACUACAUCCAAGGAAGGCAGCAGGCGCGCAAAUUACCCAAUCCCGACACGGGGAGGUAGUGACAAUAAAUACUGAUACAGGGCUCUUUUGGGUCUUGUAAUCGGAAUGAGUACAAUUUAAAUCCCUUAACGAGGAACAAUUGGAGGGCAAGUCUGGUGCCAGCAGCCGCGGUAAUUCCAGCUCCAAUAGCGUAUAUUAAAGUUGUUGUGGUUAAAAAGCUCGUAGUUGAACCUUGGGCCUGGCUGGCCGGUCCGCCUCACCGCGUGCACUGGUCCGGCCGGGCCUUUCCCUCUGCGGAACCCCAUGCCCUUCACUGGGCGUGGCGGGGAAACAGGACUUUUACUUUGAAAAAAUUAGAGUGCUCAAGGCAGGCCUAUGCUCGAAUACAUUAGCAUGGAAUAAUGAAAUAGGACGUUGCGGUUCUAUUUUGUUGGUUUCUAGGACCGCCGUAAUGAUUAAUAGGGACAGUCGGGGGCAUCAGUAUUCAAUUGUCAGAGGUGAAAUUCUUGGAUUUAUUGAAGACUAACUACUGCGAAAGCAUUUGCCAAGGAUGUUUUCAUUAAUCAGGAACGAAAGUUAGGGGAUCGAAGACGAUCAGAUACCGUCGUAGUCUUAACCAUAAACUAUGCCGACUAGGGAUCGGACGAUGUUAUAUUUUU